rnacentral:rRNA from 1 species
GAGUAGCAAUUGGAGGGCAAGUCUGGUGCCAGCAGCCGCGGUAAUUCCAGCUCCAAUAGCGUAUAUUAAACUUGUUGCAGUUAAAAAGCUCGUAGUUGUAUUUUUGCGUUAGCGGUUUGACCAUUUGGUUGGUUAUUUCGUUUUCGCUUUUGGGAAUUUCCCUUUUUACUUUGAGAAAAUUAGAGUGUUUCAAGCAGACUUUUGUCUUGAAUACUUCAGCAUGGAAUAAUAGAGUAGGACUUUGGUUCUAUUUUGUUGGUUAUUGAACCUUAGUAAUGGUUAAUAGGAACGGUUGGGGGCAUUCGUAUUUAACUGUCAGAGGUGAAAUUCUUAGAUUUGUUAAAGACGAACUACUGCGAAAGCAUUUGCCAAGGACGUUUCCAUUAAUCAAGAACGAAAGUUAGGGGAUCGAAGACGAUCAGAUACCGUCGUAGUCCUAACCAUAAACUA